AGUAGCGCGUGAGGAACCUGCCUCAAAGAGGGGGACAACAGUUGGAAACGACUGCUAAUACCGCAUAAGCCCACGGCUCGGCAUCGAGCAGAGGGAAAAGGAGCAAUCCGCUUUGAGAUGGCCUCGCGUCCGAUUAGCUAGUUGGUGAGGUAAUGGCCCACCAAGGCGACGAUCGGUAGCCGGACUGAGAGGUUGAACGGCCACAUUGGGACUGAGACACGGUCCAA
rnacentral:rRNA from 1 species